GGAGCAGCGACACCCCCGCGCUCGAGCGUACUGGGACGGUCCCGUUGCCAUGGCGGCAGCGUCUUGCGGGCGGGAGGAGGGAGGGAGCAUGGCCGCCCUGGCCCGGCUUCAGGAGAGGCUGACGGGACUCCGGGACGAGUAUUUCCUUACGAACAGAGCUAUAGAUGAAGACAGAAAAAUACAGUACAAGGCUGCUGUCAAGAUCCAGCGCUGGUUUCGAGCAUGCAGUGUCCGAGCCUAUCUGAGACAUCUGAGAAAAAUGGCGAUUUUGAUACAGAAGUGGUGGAGAGGUUAUCUAAGAAGAAAAUACUUCAGAGAAGUAGUGGAGAGAGCAUAUUUUAUUAAGAAGCAGAAAUUCUACAAUGAAAUGGCUGUCAGGAUCCAGAAAACAUGGCGAGGCUAUUACGUUCGGAAGUAUAUCCAUAAUUUUUAUGCACUGAAGAAAUACCUGAAUGCUGUUUGUCUGAAUAACAAACUUGUCAGGCAUGAACUUCAAAAGUAUGCAGAAAUGAAGGAAAAUGAAGAGAAAAUGAAAGACCUGGAAAAGAAAGAAAAGGAAAAGAAAUACCAAGCCCAAAAGAUGCAUUACCUCCUUAGCACUGAGCAGAUUCCAGGCAUCUACAAUUCGCCAUUCAGGAAAUCUCCAGAUCCAAUGGAACUGCUGCUACGGCAGUCAAAGCCACUGACCCACAGAAAGCAGCAAGUGAAGAUCCCCCUUGCUGAUGAGCUCUAUGGCUGGCCAACCUGUAAAGAGCCUCCAGCUUUUGUCACAUCACUGCCUCUGCUACCUGCUGACAGACAGAAACCUCAGGGGCCGUUCCGCAAUCCUGCUGAAGUGUUGCGGCAGCGCUACAAACCUGUGGAACCAACCCUGCGAGUGAGAGAAUCAAUGUAUUCACCACCAGCCAAGGCCAGAGAGUCAACACUAGGGAAGGAAUGGAGAAAUCCCACCCAUGACAAUGAAUUUCUGCCAUUUUCUUCAUAUCAUAAAAAUUAUGAGAAGUAUGAGCCAUCACUUUUUAAGUCAGGCAAAUAUGGCCAAGAAGCUUAUGGAACUAAACAUUUCAGAGAAGUAUAUCCUAAGAAGUGGAUAGCAGACAAGGUAUUUUGGCCCGAAACAGGAUUUUAUUAUCUACAAAGCAUAAAAAUACCCAGGACUGCAAAGAAUUAAUUUAGAGAACCUAAGCAUAUUGCACAGAACAUAAAGUUGACCUUUACCGUCUACAGCUUUUGGAAUGGAGUGGGAUGUGGAACACAUCGUAGAUUUAAUGUGGCACAACACUGUCUGCAGAAACUUGGGUGGGACUGUGACUGCCUGCCCAUUGCACCCGAUGAUUGAAUCUGCUGUCACCAGCAUCCUGAUAAUAAUGAACAUUCAGCUUAAUGACCGUGAUUAUGAUUAUCAUAAUUGAUGUGCAAGUGCAGUGUGUGGGGAUCAUUACAGCUGAACUGUACAGCAGAGAAACAUGCCUUAGUUAUAGAUAAUUUUACUUUUAUGCAUCGAUUGGGAUAAAAUACACCUUUCAAGUUCAACAGGCCAGCUUGAUAUAAUUUUAGUAAGAUUUCUACAUGAAUUGAUGUUUAUGAGCUUCCUGCAAUUGUAGAUGUUUGUUUUGAAUUGUUUCAUUCCGUUAAUAAUGGGAAAUAAUUAAAUAAUUAGAUGUUGCCUAGAGGAAAUCACUUAUAGAAUAUUGCCAGCAUUAAUGAAAUAUCAACUUCAAAUAAUUCUGAUUAUCAUGGCCUUUCCUGGGCUAGGAAACAAAGCUCUUGUAAUUCACCACCCACACAAUUCUACUUCUGGUGGAGCAAUGGAAGCAGGGGUGUAGUCAACACUGGCAUUUUAACACUGUACCGUGUAGCCAUUAGAGCAAGCAAUAGUUGUUCCAUGUAUAAAUUGUAUCAACUUCCAUUUUGUCACCAGAGGCAGAGAAUUACAGGCUCAGAUUCAGCCAGGGUAGAUAAAGGCACAAUCAACAGCUUCAGUUAAUUUUGUUGAACAGUGAUUGCCUUCAACUGUGAUUUCAUGAUGUUGCAGAAGUAUUUAAUUAAAUCAUGACACAUAUAACAGAUAAAAAUAAGUAUGAGUAUAUAUUCCAAGCCAGAAUUUAUAUAAAGAAUGUUAUAACAUAAGUAUAAAGAAAAGUAUAGUUUCAUUGCUUUACAGUAGGCAUAAAUUUGGCUCUUCAUCCAAGAACUGACAGAUUUUCAAUCUGGGUUAACAGAGAAAACAGAAAAAUUCUUGUAGUGAGAGAAAGAGAUUUUGUUUGUUUGAAAAUUAGUUUUAUCUCUUGUAAGACAGUAAUAUAAAACAUAUAAAACAGUCAUGUCUCGUGGAUGAUGUCAUUAUGAGAUAGAAUUUUUGAUACACUAUUUCUGCUUUCCCAUCCCUGUCUAUACUGAAAUUUACUUGAAUUUCACCUUAACUCCAUUUUUCUAACCUUGAAGUGAUUUGACUUGAGAUCAUAGGUAUGAUCUGUGUGAAGUUUUAAAUUCUUUCUUGCUCAGACUGUGACUUCAUUUUUAUCAAAGGAAUUUGCUUGUUUUCAUUUUAAUUAGAAAAAAAAAGAUUAUCCAAGAACAUUUUCUAGUAUGGUGUGAUACUGGCUAAUGAAUGUGCAUCUGAACUAUCAGCUUGAUUAACUUUUAAAUCUUUAAAAGCCAUAUUUACCAGGGUGUUUUGUAACAGAAGUUACUAAUGUACAUGAGAAGUGCUAGGACAUUUUUGGAAUAUCAGAUUCCGAGCUCCCCAACCAACCUCAGUGUGUUUUUCUAGGCAAUACAGAUCUCACACAAUGUGGCAGCCGGAAGGGAAUUAUUAGAUGGGCUGUAAGUGUUUGCUUGUUCCAAUGCUGGUUUCCUCAUGAGCGAUGGCAGGGAUAAUAAGGGUUGUUGCCAAAGUGGGAUGCACUGCAGUGACCCCUAGCCCAUGACAUGGCUCCUGUAUGGUUAUUACUGCUGGCAUAACUUGAUGUAUCUAUUCAGAUGCUCCAAGUGGACCCUUAGUUUGAGUUAGCAACUAUCUGCUUCCAACAAGACACUGUUUUAUCUCACUUUUUUUUUUUGGUAUCCUGAAUUCUGAACCAAAAUAAAUCAAUUAAACACAAGGAUCUGGUCCUAUAACAAUAUAUACUGUACUGUUCAUGAAAAGUCUCUCUGUUCUAUCCUGUAACAUAUAUUUUCUGCUCUCAGAAGAAUCACUUGGAGUCAGAAUGCUUCUAUAAAUAGUGAUUACCUUCCUCCACUGAGAGAAUAGGCUGAUUCUCUCAACAGCAUUACUCUUGAGAGCUGGGAGCUCCGUGGAGCUCAGGUAUUUGGCUCCCUGAUUAGAUAGUACAGAAAAAGAGCAGUGUUGCUCAAUUUAAUAUCACAGAAGAACUUAAUAAGCAGGUGGUCUCUGAAACUGGGUAACAAAAGUAACUUAAAGUAACUUUUGCAACUUCUAGUUCUGAUCUCUUUCUCUUUUUUCUUUUUUCUUUUUUGGUAAAUGUCAUAAUGUACUGUUGAGAAGGAAAUGUAUUGAGGAAAGCAGGAGUGUGCCAUGUCCAAAAAUGGGAACACCAGAAAUUACCUCUCAUUCACAGGACUAGAAUGAAGGCUCUCUUAUUAUAAGAUGCACCCAUUUCAUUUUCCAGGAAAGCAAAUGACAAUUCCUACUUCUGACAGUUUUCAUAAUGAUCUUUCCAGGUUCCUUGUGAUUGUGACUUAUUUACAGAAUUACACUUUGUUAUGAAGAUCACUUUCAGUGCUCUCACUGGAAAGGUUCUGAGUUGUAGAUUGUUUCCUUUGAGAAAUCCUUAAGGUCCUCACUGGUGGGUUGCUUUUGAAAAAUGCAAUUCUUGAUAUACAAUUAUUAAUUAUUAUUAACUAUCACUGAGCUUUCAAAUUAUUUUCUUGGUUGUAGAAAGAUGGUAAACACUGUGAAGCAAACCAAACACACAAAAUGUACCCUUGACUAAUGUUCAACUAAAUGCAGAGAAAAAUCUGUGCAUAACUGGAAGGCUGAAAAAACUUUCUAGUGAUUACUGAUGAGUCACAGGGUCUGAUUUUGAAGUAAUGCCACAAAGUAGUAUCUGAGAAGAGUCAAACCAUUCAAUUAAAUUAUUUGCAUAAGAAGAGAUACUGUCACCACUAGUCUAAUUAAAUCCAUGCUAGUGGUUAUUUGUAAGGGUUUGUGGGCAACUAGUUGAGUAUUUUAUAAAACCUGAUUUUCAGUUCUGUAAUAUCUCAGCGGGAAAAUGCAGUCCCUUGAUGAUGAUCCAAGGCUUUGAAGAAUAAAUUGAUUCGAAGUAGAAAAUUAGAUGGCAAUUAUUAUACUGUCUAACUAGCAAUCCCCUGUCAUUUGUCUGUUGGAUGAUAAAUGUAUUGCUUGGCCUACCUUCUUCAUUUAAUAAUGUAACUUGCAUCUUAGUGGUAUAAAAGAAAACCUUGCUUUUUUUGUAAGAGUUAACUUUAACCAGUAUUUCUGUGAGUGAGAUUUAUGUAUGAUUAAGCUUUCUAAAUAAUUCCCAUUGUACACAUUGCUUAAACAUUUUAAAGCCUCUUAUUUAAUCAGAAACACUUUAGAAAUAGAGUAUCUUGCCCAAUUCCUUCAAUAUGCGCUUAGUGUGUGUUACAGUAAUUUGUGGAACAGCUUUAAAUUGCAAAACAAUCAGUUAAUCUAGAAACAGCAGAUACUGGAAUUACACCUAAUUUGUUUCUAUUGGUUUUAGGCGUUGACUAUUUGGAUAUGACUUUGUUUGUUGGAAUUCAAAAUCCGCACACUAAACUGGGAAAUCCAUGGCCGCGCCUUUUCGUAUCAGUUUUGGAAAGACUGUUCAGUAUUCUUGGAAUUAAGUGAUUUUUUUAUAUGUAUGUCAAACAUAACGUAUUUCAACUCAAUUCGAUUUGCCACAGUGUUGAAUUAAAAAGGUAUAUUUUGAAGUCACUUAAAAUUCUUUAUGGAACUUAUCUGCAAAAGCAAGCUACUUAUUAUUUGAUAAUACUCACCGAGACCUUGUUUGUGCUUGUUAAAUAGAUUUGAAAUUAAAGUAACCAAAAGCUUUUCAUAAUCCUCUGAGAAUUAUGCGGGCCAUACAACUGUUGAAAGCUGCAGGUUUGAGAGCUGGUCCUCCGCCUUAGUGUAACUGAGAUACCUCCAUGGAGCUGGGCAAAUUAGCAUGAGAUAAGGAUCCGACCUGUAAUGAAUAUAAUCAAUAUGUAAAUUCAUGCCAUUCAGACAGAAUGUUCUAGGAAAAAUGGUGUUACCUAUUUUCUCAGAAAAGCAGACUUGUAAAAUCUCAUUGUACAUUGCUGGUGAGUUUGCAAAAUUGAGGUCUGAGAUGAGAGACACAUAUUUUGAUGACUUUCUUGCAACAGGUUCACAGAGGAAUGCAGACUGUUGCAUCUUGAAAUGAUGUCUGAAUUAGAGAUUUUGCUACACUGACUCAUUAUGAUUGUAUAGUUUUAUAAUUUAAAUGCCAAUAACACCUACAGGUGUUCUAAGACAUUAUGCCAGGUAUGACCCCAGGUUGAAAGAAAGUCUGUAAGUUUGUGGGUUUUUUGUUUGUUUUGGUGCUCUCUCCAGAGAACAAAGUGCAUUAUUCUCAGAGCAGUAGCACUUCAAUGCAUAAAAACGGAUUUUAGAUUAACCUGCACUCCUUGAAUAGAAAAAACCACAGUAAAAGCUUUGUGCAGUUACGUUGGAAUGAAUGAGACAUGGAAAGUAGUACAGACUGCUUGUUGUCUUAAUGGUUUGAUGUAAGAUUCUACUGCUUGUUCCUUCAAAAUUUAUAUUAUUAAUCAAUUCUGGACUAAUUUACCCUAUUUUAAAUCAUGGUAUGAUAUCCACUUUGGAAUACACUUUUAUGUUUACUAUUCAUGUAAUGCAAUGAAGAGCUGGUUUCAACAUGCCCUUUAUAAACUCAGGUUAAAAGAAUGUUUCACCAUGAUAAACUGCAUUUUUUAUUCUCUUAAAGUGUUGAUAAUACUUGUAGGGAAAGGCAUAUCCACAUGAGGAGUGUUUUUAUGAGUAGGUGAUUUGCCAUGUGUUAAUGUUCUAGAAUGAAAGUUGUGGAAUUAUUCAGGACUAACCUUUUCACUUCAAAUUCAAACUUCACUUCUAUAUAAACAACCUUACAAGCUUUGAUGAGUUAAUGUAUAGAGGUAACCACGCCUGAGGUAGAGGGGUAGGUACAAAGGCUGAAGCGCACAGUACUGGUUUCACAACUGUAUUGGUUUUGUUUCUCAUAAUGAGAUUAUUUGAGAAGGAAUUUACAUUUUGAUUGCGAUAGUAGAAAGUAAUAAUAUUCCUGGCUUGCAGCUUUGACACGUCAGAAUUUCUCACCUGUAGUCACGUGGAGGAAUGGCAGCAUGUGUGAUAAGUUCUUGUCAUUGGCAACCAAACAUCCUGCUCUUUUAAAGAAUAACUUGUUAGGUAUGAGAGCCUUAAACAUAGGGGGGAAAAAAGGAAAAAGAGAAACAAUAAAAGACGUUGUAUAUUAGCAGGCUUUGUGCACUAAUGCAAAGCUGCUUGAUUGAGCAGUAUAGUGUCAACCAUGUCUUUCUUCUAAUGCUAAAAGUAAUGCACAUAGACAGAGUGACAAUCAGAGUACAGCCUUCCAUCAGCUGUAAUUAAUCUUUUAGUUAACAAAGACUAGAAAAGCUUCUCAUCAGCAUCUUCUGAAGUCUGAGGCACCCUGUUUUUUGAUGUUUGCAUUCUCAGUAAAAUUGUCCCCACCAGUUCUAACAAAUUGAAACACCAGGCUAAUUAUGGCAGCUAAUGAAGUGUGCGGAAUGGUCACAGCUUGUCGUGAAACUGUUCCUUCAGCUCAGAUUAGAGUUUCAUCAAUCACUUUUUUAAACUGAUCCAGAAUUGCUUCUGCCCAGUGCUUGGCAUUUUUAGUGCUGUUUCUGUAAUUGGUUUUUUCCCCAAAGCUUAGGCUAUUUUUUGAAAUAUUACAUUCUCAGGACAGGACUUACAAACUCCAGUUUAUAAAAAAACAUUUCAUUAUUGCCUCUAUCAGCUGAUCAAGUGCUAGAAAGCUAAUAAAAGAAGCAGAAAUAUAAAAUUUGAUAUACUGCUUUUAAUCCAGCUAAAGGUAGCAAUAAAGCAUAUACACAUAUAUGUAUAUGAAUCAUUAUUACUGUGGGCUGGAUGUACAAUGCAAUCUCCUGAGAUAUGGUUUGUGGACUGGAUGGUUCAAAUCCCACUGAAAGACCUAAAUGAAAUGAAUGACUUCGUCGUAGCUUAUUUCCUAGUGGAUUGUGGUCCUCCAUAUAUCACUCAAAGAGUUUGGCAUGAUUUGUAGUUUUUGCAGAUGCCCAAGCCUUGGCAAAAGGAAGACCAAAAUGUGUUGCUAUUUAAAGAAUUUCCACACUUCAGUUCAAAUCUGAAGUCCUCAGAGAAGUAUGGGAAACUUUACAGUAUAACUUAUAUUGCUACUACACUGUCAAUGAAUAAAUUAGCAUAUAAAACAUUGUAAAAAUUCCCAGUUCCUCUUAAUGUAUAAGAUAUAAUCAUACUCAGCUAUACAUUGAAAGUUCUGUAUGGACAUUAAAGGCGUAGAUGUUAAAAGUCUCAGGCUAAAUUCUUUCCUCAGCAUGGCCAGCAGAGUGUUGAAUCUAGUUCAGAAUUAUCCAGCUGAAAAAUGAAAAAAACUUUUGCUUAUGCACAACCACAGACUAUCGCUGCACAAGUUGUUGCAUUUAAUAUAUACGUAAGAUGUAUUCAUAUCAGAACCAAUGCAGCAUGGUUUUAGUUUUUUUAUUGCUCAGCAAUCUAUUUUUAAUAUUUGUGCUAAUAAGUGUAAUCUAUAUAAUUUUUUCUGAAGAAUGUUGAAUAGGUAACUGCAGCGGCGGCUGACCUCGAAGGAAAUCCCAGCUAGCUGCGGCCAGCACCGCCAGCAGCACAGGGGCACUCUCCUGAUCCCGGGCUGGGUCUAGAGAGCGCCUAAGGCUUUCACCUUGCGGGACGAGGAUCCGCAAUGAAGAGAGGGCUGCUACCCAACAGGAAAGGAAAGAGACGGACCCCAGCGGUAGUUCAAUUCAGUUUUAAUGGCUCCAGGAGGAAUACUAGCUGAGGACACCAACUGGGUCCCGACAAGAGCUUAUAAAGAAGGGCGGGUACAAACAAGUAACAUGGCCUUCAGCAAAUGGGAAAGAAGGACUUUGAAACACUGUUUUCAUCAAUUGCUCUCUUCGAAAAAUUUGGAAAAACUUACUCCAGCACUGGGCAAAUAGUGUAAUUGUCCUGGAGACUAAAAACCAUGAGACACAGGAAAAGUAGUCAAUAAAUGUAUUUCAGCAAAUACACA